AUUGAACGCUGGCGGCAGGCCUAACACAUGCAAGUCGAACGAGUGGCGGACGGGUGAGUAAUGUCUGGGAAACUGCCUGAUGGAGGGGGAUAACUACUGGCAACGGUAGCUAAUACCGCAUACCAUCGGAUGUGCCCAGAUGGGAUUAGCUAGUAGGUGGGGUAAAGGCUCACCUAGGCGACGAUCCCUAGCUGGUCUGACAGGAUAACGAUCCACACGGGAACUGAGACACGGUCCAGACUCCUACCUAGCUCAACAGGUCACAAUAUUGCACAAUGGGCGCAAGCCUGAUCCAGCCAUGCCGCGUGUAUGAAGAAGGCCUUCGGGUUGUAAAGUACUUUCAGCGGGGAGGCGUUACCCGCAGAAGAAGCACCGGCUAACUCCGUGCCAGCAGCCUCGGUAAUAC
rnacentral:rRNA from 1 species